rnacentral:rRNA from 1 species
GAUGAACGCUGGCGGCAGGCUUAACACAUGCAAGUCGAGCGCACCGCAAGGUGAGCGGCAGACGGGUGAGUAACGCGUGGGAAUCUACCCAGUUCUGCGGAAUAACACAGGGAAACUUGUGCUAAUACCGCAUACGCCUCCGGGGAAGGAUUAUCGGAUUGGAUGAGCCGCGUUAGAUUAGCUAGUUGGUGGGGUAAAGGCCUACCAAGGCGACGAUCUAUAGCUGGUCUGAGAGGAUGAUCAGCCACACUGGGACUGAGACACGGCCCAGACUCCUACGGGAGGCAGCAGUGGGGAAUAUUGGACAAUGGGCGAAAGCCUGAUCCAGCCAUGCCGCGUGAGUGAUGAAGGCCUUAGGGUUGUAAAGCUCUUUCAGUGGGGAUGAUAAUGACAGUACCCACAGAAGAAGCCCCGGCUAACUUCGUG